AGUGUGGAGUUUGACGUGUAAACUUGCUAGAGAGUGUGGUCUCCAGCCCAGGGAGUGUCUAAGGACUUCGUGGUGGUUGUCUUUCAGGAAUGAGUGAGUAACUUGUCUCCUCAGAGCCCACUCGUAUUAUGAAGCGCUUACUAAAACCAGCCCCACAGGUUUGUUGUGAGGAGCAAAAAGACUGUGCUUCAAACUGAUAUCUAUUUAUAACCAUGACUUGCUACCCAAUAGCUAACAACCCAGAAUUGUUUUUAAUUUGCAAGGGAAGGGUGGGAAUGAGAGAAAGGAGGUUCACAGAAGGAAGCACACGUAGGACCGUGUUUGGAAGAGCCUGGCUGCCCUGCAGUCUGCCUGGUUCUUAUCUGUGUCCUUAUCCUCUGUUGAGACAGCUGGUCUUAGAAACUCUGGACAAUGAACAUGGAGUUCACAGCCCUACUCUGUGUUAGAGAGGACAGGAGAGGAGAUGUAGAUUUCGCCUACCAAACUGGACUCCUUGGAGGAGGAGAGAACAGAGACCAGCUACGAGGAUCCAGGCCAGUCUCAGGGAUGCUCAGAUGUUUUGGUUCUGUAUCAUCUGUGAAUUCUGAGUUCCGGGCCAGCCAAUGAAAGGGUUCUACCAAUGAAGACAGGGGUGAGGAUGAGGUAGAAGGAGAAGGACCCUUACUUAAUAUCUCUCUCUCUCUCUCUCUCUCUCUCUCUCUCUCUCACUCUCUCUCUCUCUCUCUCUGACUCUGCCUCCCAAGUACUGGGAUUAAAGGAAUGCAUCAC
rnacentral:lncRNA from 1 species